rnacentral:lncRNA from 1 species
AGGCCCCUAACUCGCCAGUUCCAGUAGAGAUCGCACUCCCAAGUUAGCUAUGCACUGGGCAGUACCAUGCAUAAGUAACUUAGCCAAAAUGAGAGUAGAAGCAGCGCCAAGUCAAGGAGCCUCCAGAUGAUGGCACGUGUACAGUUGGAUGCGAGCCACGUGUCCAAGUCUGUAACUGCCAGGAGAGAGAAAGUUACCAGGUAUAUAAGAGUUCUUAACGAACUUUCUGAGGUACGCACAUUCAGUUUAUACUCUUUACACUUGCGAGUUGUAGAGAUGACUGUGAGAGAGGAUUUGCACGGUUCUUGUUCUCUUCAUAUUUGGUGAUACCGUCACUGACUUGAGCGUUGGAGUGCAAUCGGCCGCAGCGGCGCCGCUCUGUUUCUUUGCAGGUUCUUGAGGUGGAUCUCGAAGAGGAACGGAGGUUCGAAGCGGUGCGCACGUCGAUCCUUUGACGAGGCAGUUUCCAGCGUUCC